AUUCUUGUGUACCGGUGUGUAGCCACGUGGAAUUGUCUCAUUCCUGGUUUUGUUAUUUUAUUAAAUGAUUCACCUGCACCUGCUUCCUAGCUCCAUUAUUACACAUGUGAAGUUCGUAGGAGCACAUUCAGAGUUGAUCAGGCUAAUUGUGGCCUGUGGAAUGUUGUCCCACUCCUCUUCAAUGGCUGAGCGAAGUUGCUGGAUAUUGGUGGGAACUGGAACACGCUGUCAUACAUGUCGAUCAUGAGCAUCCCAAACAAGUUCACAGAAGUUACAAGUAAAGAACAGCCUCAAUUUGUCGGGACAAGGUGCCGAAAAGUGUUCCACAGGUAAGCUGGCCCAUGCCGACUCCAAUGCUUCUCACAGCUGUGUCAAAAUGGCUGUAUGCGUCACGGAUCCCCCCCCGUACUGCUGCUCAUUCUGUUCACCAGUUCUACGUCACCGGCUUUCUAGGCUUCACUGAACUGGAUUCAUUAUCAUCAACCCCGGACUGUCUUGUCUGAUUACACACCUGG